GACGAACGCUGGCGGCGUGCCUAAUACAUGCAAGUUGAGCGCUGAAGGUUGGUACUUGUACCAACUGGAUGAGCAGCGAACGGGUGAGUAACGCGUGGGGAAUCUGCCUUUGAGCGGGGGACAACAUUUGGAAACGAAUGCUAAUACCGCAUAAAAACUUUAAACACAAGUUUUAAGUUUGAAAGAUGCAAUUGCAUCACUCAAAGAUGAUCCCGCGUUGUAUUAGCUAGUUGGUGAGGUAAAGGCUCACCAAGGCGAUGAUACAUAGCAGACCUGAGAGGGUGGUCGGCCGCAGUGGGAGGGAGACGCGGCCCAAAGGCCUACGGGAGGGAGCAGUAGGGAAUCUUCGGCAAUGGAGGAGAGUCUGACCGAGCAACGCCGCGUCAGUGAAGAAGGUUUUCGGUUCGUAAAACUCUGUUGGUAGAGAAGAACGUUGGUGAGAGUGGAAAGAUCAUCAAGUGACGGUAACUACCCAGAAAGGGACGGCUAACUACGUG
rnacentral:rRNA from 1 species